rnacentral:misc_RNA from 1 species
GUGAAGAACGUAGCGAAAUGCGAUAAGUAAUGUGAAUUGCAGAAUUCAGUGAAUCAUCGAAUCUUUGAACGCACAUUGCGCCCGCCAGUAUUCUGGCGGGCAUGCCUGUUCGAGCGUCAUUUCAACCAUCAAGCCCUGCUUGCGUUGGGGUCCUGCGGCUGCCCGCAGGCCCUGAAAACCAGUGGCGGGCUCGCUAGUCACACCGAGCGCAGUAAUACAUCUCGCUUUGGGCGUGCGGCGGGUUCUUGCCGUUAAACACCCCCUUUUUACCAAGGUUGACCUCGGAUCAGGUAGGAAUACCCGCUGAACUUAAGCAUAUCAAUAAGCGGAGGA